UAAACCAUGCACCGAUGCUGCGGCAGCGACACUGUGGUUCGUUGGGUAGGGGAGCGUUCUGUAAGCCUGUGAAGGUGGCCUGUGAGGGUUGCUGGAGGUAUCAGAAGUGCGAAUGCUGACAUAAGUAACGAUAAAGCGGGUGAAAAGCCCGCUCGCCGGAAGACCAAGGGUUCCUGUCCAACGUUAAUCGGGGCAGGGUGAGUCGACCCCUAAGGCGAGGCCGAAAGGCGUAGUCGAUGGGAAACGGGUUAAUAUUCCCGUACUUGGUGUUACUGCGAAGGGGGGACGGAGAAGGCUAUGUUGGCCGGGCGACGGUUGUCCCGGUUUAAGCGUGUAGGCUGGUUUUCCAGGCAAAUCCGGAAAAUCAAGGCUGAGGCGUGACGACGAGGCACUACGGUGCUGAAGCAACAAAUGCCCUGCUUCCAGGAAAAGC
rnacentral:rRNA from 1 species